CUCUCUCUCCCUAUCGUGUGUACAGGCGAUUCGAAUGUUCCGUGGCAUACUCCUCGCUCCGGUGGUCAAAGAGGCGGAAGCUAUCGUCUUCCGAUGGUUUGCAAGUUUCAUGAGUUCUUGCAAAAUGAACCAACCAAAUCAGCGGUUGACGUUUCAUCUGUUUGUUAUGCUGAAAAAGUGGCUGUUAUUCGUAGAAACCUUGGUUCAGUUCUGAGUCAUGCUAAAUCUUUAAUUCCUAGUUUACUAAAUGAAGAGGAUGUACAACUUUUGAGGGUGUUCUUCACUCAGUUAGAGUCUCUGAUUGCUCCUGCUGAAAUUGGAGAAAACCGAGUUCAAAAAAUGGGUGAUUUCCUGCAUGAUUUCACGAGCAUGAUGGACCAAAAUGUUGGGACCAGAGUCGCAGCUGCUCCCCUCUCCUUGCCACCGGCCACCAGCUUCGCGGUCUCCGUCUUCACUCUCAUCCCGCCUCAGUCGCCGAUCGUGAGCCGCCUCCAUCUUCACCACUUUCCAGUCAACGCCUCGCCUCAGGUUCGUAGUCUCGUUCUCAACUUCUCGUUCAUACUUGAUUGGCCAGAGAGCGAACAAGGAGAUCAAUUCUGUCGGCAAUGACAUCAAUUAAUAAGCUAGUACGUAAUAUUGGGCUGCUGGUUUCCCGAUUCUGGUCUGUGCGGUGCAGGGGAAAAGUGUCACGGCUGUAGAGACGGUAGAUGCGGUAGAGGCUGCACAUUUGAUGCUGUCCGAGGAUGUUGAAGCACCCCCUGUUCCGCAACCAGACACAAAUUCGGAUGAGGAGGAUGAUGGGCUAGACGUGGAUGACUUGAAACUAUUUCCGCUUUUGAAGAUUCGUGCUUCUCCCAAGCAAUUGGUCGCACCGAUGAGGCUGUUUAAUGUUUGUCAGAAGAGAGCUGUGGUCGAGUUGGGGUUAGGAGAGUUGUUAAAUCUUCAAAUCCACGAAGGUUAAUAGCUUGUGCGUAUUGUUGUGUUUUUAUGAGGGGCAGUAGGUGUGUUCUAGGCCAAUAUUUAAGUCCUUAAAUUAGUCACGAGCGUAACAAAUUGAUGAUUACAUAAUUGUAAUUCUUUUUGACUCCUUGAAUAUAUAUAUUUUAUUUUA